GGAAACAGAUGCUAAUACCGCAUAGAUCCAAGAACCGCAUGGUUCUUGGCUGAAAGAUGGCGUAAGCUAUCGCUUUUGGAUGGACCCGCGGCGUAUUAGCUAGUUGGUGAGGUAAUGGCUCACCAAGGCGAUGAUACGUAGCCGAACUGAGAGGUUGAUCGGCCACAUUGGGACUGAGACACGGCCCAAACUCCUACGGGAGGCAGCAGUAGGGAAUCUUCCACAAUGGACGCAAGUCUGAUGGAGCAACGCCGCGUGAGUGAAGAAGGCUUUCGGGUCGUAAAACUCUGUUGUUGGAGAAGAAUGGUCGGCAGAGUAACUGUUGUCGGCGUGACGGUAUCCAACCAGAAAGCCACGGCUAACUACGUGCCAGCAGCCGCGGUAAUACGUAGGUGGCAAGCGUUAUCCGGAUUUAUUGGGCGUAAAGCGAGCGCAGGCGGUUUUUUAAGUCUGAUGUGAAAGCCCUCGGCUUAACCGAGGAAGCGCAUCGGAAACUGGGAAACUUGAGUGCAGAAGAGGACAGUGGAACUCCAUGUGUAGCGGUGAAAUGCGUAGAUAUAUGGAAGAACACCAGUGGCGAAGGCGGCUGUCUGGUCUGUAACUGACGCUGAGGCUCGAAAGCAUGGGUAGCGAACAGGAUUAGAUACCCUGGUAGUCCAUGCCGUAAACGAUGAAUGCUAGGUGUUGGAGGGUUUCCGCCCUUCAGUGCCGCAGCUAACGCAUUAAGCAUUCCGCCUGGGGAGUACGACCGCAAGGUUGAAACUCAAAGGAAUUGACGGGGGCCCGCACAAGCGGUGGAGCAUGUGGUUUAAUUCGAAGCAACGCGAAGAACCUUACCAGGUCUUGACAUCUUUUGAUCACCUGAGAGAUCAGGUUUCCCCUUCGGGGGCAAAAUGACAGGUGGUGCAUGGUUGUCGUCAGCUCGUGUCGUGAGAUGUUGGGUUAAGUCCCGCAACGAGCGCAACCCUUAUGACUAGUUGCCAGCAUUUAGUUGGGCACUCUAGUAAGACUGCCGGUGACAAACCGGAGGAAGGUGGGGAUGACGUCAAAUCAUCAUGCCCCUUAUGACCUGGGCUACACACGUGCUACAAUGGAUGGUACAACGAGUUGCGAGACCGCGAGGUCAA
rnacentral:rRNA from 2 species